rnacentral:tRNA from 1 species
UCCCUGGUAGCUCAGCUGGUGAAGAAUCCGCCUGCAAUGCGGGAGACCUGGGUUCGAUCCCUAGGUUGGGAG